GUGUCAGCAGCCGCGGUAAUACGUAGGUGGCAAGCGUUGUCCGGAAUUACUGGGUGUAAAGGGCGUGUAGGCGGAUCUGCAAGUCGGAUGUGAAAUUCCCGGGCUCAACCCGGGCGCUGCAACCGAAACUGCGGAUCUUGAGUGUCGGAGAGGAAAGCGGAAUUCCCAGUGUAGCGGUAAAAUGCGUAGAGAUUGGGAGGAACACCGGUGGCGAAGGCGGCUUUCUGGACGACAACUGACGCUGAGGCGCGAAAGCGUGGGGAGCAAACAGGAUUAGAUACCCUUGUAGUCC
rnacentral:rRNA from 1 species